CGGAUCUCUUGGUUCCGGCAUCGAUGAAGAACGCAGCGAAAUGCGAUACGUAAUGUGAAUUGCAAAUUCAGUGAAUCAUCGAGUCUUUGAACGCACAUUGCGCCCCCUGGUAUUCCGGGGGGCAUGCCUGUCCGAGCGUCAUU
rnacentral:rRNA from 1 species